UAUAGUACCAAUAUUGGGCCUUGCGAGAGUUUUAUCCCAAAACAAAAAUCAAGAGGGUCCCCAUAAUAACCCCAAGCAUGUUAGGAGCGCUCAAUAUGGAACAUAACACCGAUUCACAAGUAACUAGGGCAGCAAAGGUGGAACAAAACACUGAGCUAGAAGUCCAAGCCUUUCACCUUUUACCAAGUAUAUAUGUGCAUUAAACAAAAUAACAAUAAUAUCGUGAUAUAUCAAGGAAUCCAUGUUGUCACAUGGGAAGCAACUUGCACCUUCAACUAGCAACCCUAUAAGAAGGGUUGAGCAAGCGGUAACAUAACCAAACAAAGGUUUGUUGGGAUGUGCACGGG
rnacentral:lncRNA from 1 species